rnacentral:rRNA from 1 species
UACGGAGGGGGCUAGCGUUGUUCGGAAUUACUGGGCGUAAAGCGCACGUAGGCGGCUUUGUAAGUUAGAGGUGAAAGCCCGGGGCUCAACUCCGGAAUUACCUUUAAGACUGCAUCGCUAGAAUUGUGGAGAGGUAAGUGGAAUUCCGAGUGUAGAGGUGAAAUUCGUAGAUAUUCGGAAGAACACCAGUGGCGAAGGCGACUUACUGGACACAUAUUGACGCUGAGGUGCGAAAGCGUGGGGAGCAAACAGG